rnacentral:rRNA from 1 species
UGCCUCCCGCUACUUCAUGGAAGGUUCGCCCUGCCCGGUGAGCUACGUGCUUAAACGGCCGCGGUACCCUGACCGUGCAAAGGUAGCAUAAUCAUUUGCCUUUUAAUUGUAGGCUAGUAUGAAUGGGUACACGAGGGAGCUAUUGUCUCUUUUUUAUAAAGUAAAAUUGACCUUUAGGUGAAGAUGCCUAAAUAUAGUAAAAAGACAAAAAGACCCUAUUGAGUUUUAUAAAAAUCUCUAACUUAUCACUUACAUAUUGUAAAAGUGAGAGUAUAAAAAUUUAUUUGGUUGGGGCAACCGAGGAGCAAUAAAACCCUCCUCUCAAAAAACCGACUUAUAAGUCUUCAAGACCCGCUAUGCGAUCAAAAAAAUAACACUACCAUAGGGAUAACAGGCUAAUUUCUUCAGAGAGCCCAAAUUGACGAAGAAGUUUGGCACCUCGAUGUUGGCUUAGGGCAUCCCUCAAGUGUAGCAGCUUGAAAGGGUUGGUUUGUUCACCCAUUAAAGCCCU